AGCUCCAAUAGCGUAUAUUUAAGUUGUUGCAGUUAAAAAGCUCGUAGUUGGAUUUCGGUUGAGGCCGGCCGGUCCGCCGUUUGGUGUGCACUGGCUGAACUCAACUUCCUGCGGAGGACGCGCUCUGGGCUUAACGGUCUGGACGUGGAGUCCGCGUGGUUACUUUGAAAAAAUUAGAGUGUUCAAAGCGGGCUUACGCUUGAAUAUAUUAGCAUGGAAUAACACUAUAGGACUCCUGUCCUAUUUCGUUGGUCUCGGGACGGGAGUAAUGAUUAAGAGGAACAGUUGGGGGCAUUCGUAUUUCAUUGUCAGAGGUGAAAUUCUUGGAUUUAUGAAAGACGAACUUCUGCGAAAGCAUUUGCCAAGGAUGUUUUCAUUA
rnacentral:rRNA from 1 species